rnacentral:rRNA from 1 species
AUACGGAGGAUCCGAGCGUUAUCCGGAUUUAUUGGGUUUAAAGGGUGCGCAGGCGGCCAUUUAAGUCUGAGGUUAAAGCGUGGGGCUCAACCCCAUAAAGCCUUGGAAACUGAUUGACUAGAGUACGGGAGAAGUGAAGGGAACUCCAUGUGUAGCGGUGAAAUGCGUAGAUAUAUGGAAGAACACCAGUGGCGAAGGCGCUUCACUAGCCCGAAACUGACGCUCAGUCACGAAAGCGUGGGUAGCAAAUAGGAUUAGAUACCCUAGUAGUCCACGCUGUAAACGAUGACAACUAAAUAUUGCCGCGAGGCAGUGUUGAAGCUAACGCAUUAAGUUGUCCGCCUGGGGAGUACGGUCGCAAGAAUGAAACUCAAAUGAAUUGGCGGGG